GAACAUGAGCAGAGGGAUAGAAGAAGAAAUCCCAACAGCUUUCUCAAGCCUCCCAAGUGGGCCUUCACAGUAUGGCUUCAUUAUUUCAUUUACAGCAUUGUGAAUUCACAGCUGCCAGACAAAUCCAUACUGAAAUUGGCGGUGACCCUAGCUAGUUACUUGAAGCCAGUGCCAGAUGAACACAAGCUCUGACAGUUUCUACCAAGGUUCUGAAUAUGCCCUAGCAACAUAUUGUAUGUCUGUCACCUCAGGAACAGCAUAGCUAAAUUCGGAAAGUCUCAUCUCCAGAAGGUUGGCUACCAGAUGAGGAAGCUCAUACUCAGAGAGGAUGCCUUGUCCCAGGUCAUGUGACUAGGAAGUGGAUGAGCUUGGCCUGGAAAUCAGGUCUUCUGACUUCACAUCCAAUGUUCUUUCCUUUUUCGCACACUUGACUAAGUUCCUUCAAGUUGAAGCCCAUCUAUUCUCAAGUUACUAAUAACUGUAUUUAUUUGGAUAUAGAUGAAAUAGCUGUUUUAUUUGCCCUGUACAGACUUGCCAAUGCUGAUAACUACACACUGAAAUUGAUCACCUGUGAAUGAUUUUGGGAAACUAAAUGGACAUGUUUGACAACUCCAGUUGUCUGGCAAAAGUUUUUCAAAGACAAUCUAAGAGGAUCAGAUGAACAUCCCACUGAAGAGCAAGAAGAUGGAUUCCCAGCACUGUAGCCAUAGGAUUAUGAAUUUAUAGUAAAACUCUUUUCCUACAGUGUAUCUGGACUAACAUCAUUUUGUAAAAACAUAUAUUACAGAAAUUGAACAGUUCUUCUGAGAAACUUAUUUCUGAAGCAUUCUAUUCUGUUUGAGCAAUGAUGGGAGAGGAAACCUGUCACUUUUCAGUUUCCUUUCCCCUCAUUAGCACAUUGGGAUGUAAAAAAACUCAAUAAAAUUUCAAGAAAUAUUCAUCUUA